AUUUUUCGAGAAACCAUUUUGAAUUCCCAAACAGCAAAGGAAAUGCUGCAGGUUCCUGGAGGGACCUGGUGAUCUGGGGCAGAGCACACGGAGUCGAGAUUGCUGCGGGGUUCACGAGCCUCCCCUCCUGGGACCAGGGGCACCUGGGCAGGGUAGUCUGCACCACGCAGGAAAGCCCAGUACACGCAGCUGCUCAACGCUGCAGACGCCAUAGCGCAGGGCUGACAAGGCCUCCCUCUUUAUCUGCCCUGGACCACAAGUGGAAAAUAUCAAGACAAAGCAAAAGCCAGUAUCCCUUAAGAACUUUCCAAUUGUUCUUGUCAUUUGUAGUUUUGUUUUUUGGGGGGUGUGGGGAGGGAGGGGUGGUUUGAAACAACUCCGGAGCACACUCCAGAGGAAAACAGGAAGGGUGACAUGUUUGGACACCAGAAAAGAGGAAGAGUCCUCACUAAGAGGGUGACUUGGUUAAAAAGUUCAAGCACAAAGGAUGUAGAAGCAGGUGGAUGUCAUCAGAGAACAGAUGCGGAUCUAGUGAGAUGGGUCCUACCACCCCUGGAAUAUGUUCCUGGGAGAGGGGUGGUCUGCUAGAGUGGACUGGGAAUAGUAAUAUUGCAUACUUUUGUAAAUUCACAAAACCCUCUGAUCUGUGAUAGAGGAAUAAAGGGCAGAGGAUAAACCCCAGAUAAAGAUUCACUUAUCUUAAAAAUGAAAGGUUGGAAAUUAACUUUAUGCUACUGUACCACCUUCGAAGUAUUUCUGGCAGGUGCCUGGAGGAUUCAGAUUAAUGACCAAAUUACCUGCCAAGUCAGGGCCUCCCAUUAGAAGAGAGUACCAGUUUCCAUUAGGAGCACUAGCUGGAAAACACAAUCUUUCAGCAGAGGAAAUACAGUCUUCUCUCCUUC
rnacentral:lncRNA from 1 species